GAUUAGCUUGUUGGUGAGGUAACGGCUCACCAAGGCGACGAUCCCUAGCUGGUCUGAGAGGAUGACCAGCCACACUGGAACUGAGACACGGUCCAGACUCCUACGGGAGGCAGCAGUGGGGAAUAUUGCACAAUGGGCGCAAGCCUGAUGCAGCCAUGCCGCGUGUAUGAAGAAGGCCUUCGGGUUGUAAAGUACUUUCAGCGGGGAGGAAGGUGUUGUGGUUAAUAACCGCAGCAAUUGACGUUACCCGCAGAAGAAGCACCGGCUAACUCCGUGCCAGCAGCCGCGGUAAUACGGAGGGUGCAAGCGUUAAUCGGAAUUACUGGGCGUAAAGCGCACGCAGGCGGUCUGUCAAGUCGGAUGUGAAAUCCCCGGGCUCAACCUGGGAACUGCAUUCGAAACUGGCAGGCUUGAGUC
rnacentral:rRNA from 4 species